GGGAAAGUGCUAUAGUUCAGUGGUAGAGCAUUUGCUUUGCCUGCAGGGAAGACCCAGGUUCAAUCCUCGGUACCCUCA